rnacentral:rRNA from 1 species
CAGUAGCCGCGGUAAUGCGAAGGGGGCUAGCGUUGUUCGGAUUUACUGGGCGUAAAGCGCACGUAGGCGGAUCGAUCAGUCAGGGGUGAAAUCCCAGAGCUCAACUCUGGAACUGCCUUUGAUACUGUCGAUCUGGAGUAUGGAAGAGGUGAGUGGAAUUCCGAGUGUAGAGGUGAAAUUCGUAGAUAUUCGGAGGAACACCAGUGGCGAAGGCGGCUCACUGGUCCAUUACUGACGCUGAGGUGCGAAAGCGUGGGGAGCAAACAGGAUUAGAUACCCGCGUAGUCCCUGUCUCUUAUAA